rnacentral:rRNA from 1 species
UCCUACGGGGGGCAGCAGUAGGGAAUUUUCGUCAAUGGGCGCAAGCCUGAACGAGCAAUGCCGCGUGAACGAGGAAGGUCUUCGGAUCGUAAGUUCUGUUGAAGGGGAAAAAGAGCGGAGAGAGGAAAUGGUCUCCGAUUGAUAUUACCCUUCGAGGAAGUCACGGCUAACUACGUGCCAGCAGCCGCGGUAAUACGUAGGUGGCGAGCGUUAUCCGGAAUGAUUGGGCGUAAAGGGUGCGUAGGCGGCCUGCUAAGUCUGGAGUGAAAGGUACCGGCUCAACCGGUACAGGCUCUGGAAACUGG